rnacentral:lncRNA from 8 species
GUUGUUUUCUCAGAGGGUGUUGAAGAGGAAAAGAAAGCCUGUGUUUGACAUCUCCAGGAACGUGUUGGAACUCAUCUACGGACAGACACUGGCCUGGUAUGAACUCUAACCCUGGUCCUGUACCUAGCCUCAACCCUGCACCUAGCCUCAACCCUGCACCUAGCCUUAACCCUGCACCUAGCCUAAACCCUGCACCUAGCCUAAACCCUGCACCUAGCCUCAACCCUGCACCUAGCCUCAACUCUGCUAAAUGACGUAAAUGUAAAUGUCUGUAUUGUGGUGAUGUUGUAUCAUGUCUGUAUUGUGGAGGUUGUAGUGAUGUUGUAUCAUGUCUGUAUUGUGGAGGUUGUAGUGAUGUUGUAUCAUGUCUGUAUUGUGGAGGUUGUAGUGAUGUUGUAUCGUGUUGUGGAGGUUGUAGUGAUGUUGUAUCAUGUCUGUGUUGUAGUGAUGUUGUAUCAUGUCUGUGUUGUGGAGGGUGUAGGGAUGUUGUAUCAUGUCUUNNNNNNNNNNNNNNNNNNNNUCUAUUCUGUCUCCGUCUAUUCUGUCUCUGUCCGUCUGUUCUGUCUCUGUCUGUCUAUUCUGUCUCUGUCUGUCUGUUCUGUCUCUGUCUGUCUGUUCUGUCUGUCUAUUCUGUCUCUGUCUGUCUGUUCUGUCUCUGUCUGUCUAUUCUGUCUCUGUCUGUCUAUUCUGUCUCUGUCUGUCUAUUCUGUCUCUGUCUGUCUGUUCUGUCUCUGUCUGUCUAUUCUGUCUCUGUCUGUCUGUUCUGUCUCUGUCUGUCUGUCUGUUCUGUCUCUGUCUGUCUGUCUGUUCUGUCUCUGUCUGUCUAUUCUGUCUGUCUGUCUAUUCUGUCUCUGUCUGUCUAUUCUGUCUCUGUCUGUCUGUUCUGUCUCUGUCUGUCUUCUGUCUGUCUGUUCUGUCUCUGUCUGUCUAUUCUGUCUCUGUCUGUCUAUUCUGUCUCUGUCUGUCUAUUCUGUCUCUGUCUGUCUAUUCUGUCUCUGUCUGUCUGUUCUGUCUCUGUCUGUCUGUCUGUCUCUGUCUCUGUCUGUCUCUAUUCUGUCUUUGUCUGUCUAUUCUGUCUCUGUCUGUCUAUUCUGUCUCUGUCUGUCUGUUCUGUCUCUGUCUGUCUAUUCUGUCUCUGUCUGUCUGUUCUGUCUGUCUGUUCUGUCUCUGUCUGUCUAUUCUGUCUCUGUCUGUCUAUUCUGUCUCUGUCUGUCUGUUCUGUCUCUGUCUGUCUAUUCUGUCUCUGUCUGUCUAUUCUGUCUCUGUCUGUCUAUUCUGUCUCUGUCUGUCUAUUCUGUCUCUGUCUGUCUAUUCUGUCUCUGUCUGUCUAUUCUGUCUCUAUUCUGUCUCUGUCUGUCUGUUCUGUCUCUGUCUGUCUAUUCUGUCCGUCUGUUCUGUCUCUGUCUGUCUGUUCUGUCUCUGUCUGUCUAUUCUGUCUCUGUCUGUCUGUUCUGUCUGUCUAUUCUGUCUGUCUGUCUAUUCUGUCUCUGUCUGUCUGUCUGUCUCUGUCUGUCUGUUCUGUCUCUGUCUAUUCUGUCUCUGUCUGUCUAUUCUGUCUCUGUCUGUCUGUUCUGUCUCUGUCUGUCUGUUCUGUCUCUGUCUGUCUAUUCUGUCUCUGUCUGUCUGUUCUGUCUCUGUCUGUCUAUUCUGUCUCUGUCUGUCUAUUCUGUCUCUGUCUGUCUAUUCUGUCUCUGUCCGUCUAUUCUGUCUCUGUCUGUCUAUUCUGUCUCUGUCUGUCUAUUCUGUCUCUGUCUGUCUAUUCUGUCUCUGUCUGUCUGUUCUGUCUCUGUGUGUAGGAGUUGUUAAAGACUAAUCGUAACCAUGUCUCUCUAUCUCUCUCUGUGUGUAGGAGUUGUUAAAGACUAAUCGUAACCAUGUCUCUCUCUCUCUGUGUGUAGGAGUUGUUAAAGACUAAUCAUAACCAUGUCUCUCUCUCUGUCUCUGUGUGUAGGAGUUGUUAAAGACUAAUCAUAACCAUGUC